AUGUUGCGAUAUGACCUUGAAGACCGGCUCUCAACCAUCUACACUGAUGAAGAGGCCUACUGGCGUUUGCGUGGUACCCAACGGUGGGUACUUCAGGGUGAUGCCAACACCGCCUAUUUCCAGGCGGUGGCGAACGGCCGCCGGCGCCGAAACUCCAUCCACUGCCUUUGGGAUGGAGAUUCGCCUCUCGUUCGCCCCUCGGCCAUCCGUGCCCAUGUAGAUGGCUUCUAUAAAGCCCUAUUUACCCCACCCCUUAGGGUGGGGCUAGUCUCGCUCCCGACAUUUGGUCGGGUGCUCAAUUGGUCUCUGAUGCGGCCAAUGCUGCUUUAG
rnacentral:rRNA from 1 species